UCAGUAACACGUAGUCAACUAUAAACCAAAUGGACGUGGAUAAACUCGGGAAACUGAGGCUAAACCGCGGAUAGUUCAAUGAUACCUGGAAUGGUUUUUGAUCAAAAUCUAUAUGGCCCCUGGAUUGGAAUCUGCGGCCAGAUCAGGCUGUUGGUGAGGUAAUGGCCCACCAAACCUGUAACCGGUACGGGCUCUGAGAGGAGGAGCCCGGAGAUGGGCACUGAGACAAGGGCCCAGGCCCUAUGGGGCGCAGCAGGCGCGAAACCUCUGCAAUAGGCGAAAGCCUGACAGGGUUACUCUGAGUGAUUUCCGUUAAGGAGAUCUUUUGGCACCUCUAAAAAUGGUGCAGAAUAAGGGGUGGGCAAGUCUGGUGCCAGCAGCCG
rnacentral:rRNA from 1 species